rnacentral:rRNA from 1 species
AUUGAACGCUGGCGGCAGGCCUAACACAUGCAAGUCGAGCGGAUGAAGGGAGCUUGCUCCUGGAUUCAGCGGCGGACGGGUGAGUAAUGCCUAGGAAUCUGCCUGGUAGUGGGGGAUAACGUCCGGAAACGGGCGCUAAUAUCGUAUACGUCCUGAGGGAGAAAGUGGGGGAUCUUAGGACCUCACGCUAUCAGAUGAGCCUAGGUCGGAUUAGCUAGUUGGUGGGGUAAAGGCCUACCAAGGCGACGAUCCGUAACUGGUCUGAGAGGAUGAUCAGUCACACUGGAACUGAGACACGGUCCAGACUCCUACGGGAGGCAGCAGUGGGGAAUAUUGGACAAUGGGCGAAAGCCUGAUCCAGCCAUGCCGCGUGUGUGAAGAAGGUCUUCGGAUUGUAAAGCACUUUAAGUUGGGAGGAAGGGCAGUAAGUUAAUACCUUGCUGUUUUGACGUUACCAACAGAAUAAGCACCGGCUAACUUCGUG